rnacentral:lncRNA from 10 species
UGAUGGCCCAUGAAAAGGUGAAAAUAAACUAGCUGUGAUGCGUUAAAGAGGGUGACGCCUACGAGUCCUGCAGCCACUGCAGGCAGAGGAGGCCCUGCUUCCCUGACCCAUCUGCCUGCGGCUGCAGGUGGCACCUCACAGUGGCUGUGCCUCCCAGGACUCCAGCUUGAGACUCGGGAAUCCUCCCACCUGGAGAAUCGGGAAGACUCCUGCUUGCUUUUCCAGUCGGAUUAUUUACCUCGGUCCCGCCAGCAUCUAUGCCCUGACUUGAGACUACUCUAGGCAGAGGCGAAGGUGAGGCCAGCCAGGGAGGCAGCAGCCGUGGAUGUGGGCAGGGCCAUGGACGGACAAAGCAGCUCCUCUGCAGCUCCCGGACGCAACCUCUGGUGAGCACUGUCACCAACCAUGCCAUUCCUCAGCACUCCCAGAGGGAGCCUGCAGACAGCCCCGCGUGGAUGGCUGCUGCUUCUUAUUCCAAACUCUGUCUAGACUGAGGCGCAGUGCUGGGCCUUGCGCUCAUCAGAUAAACUAAACUUGAAAACUCACAAUGACGCAUCCGGGGUUUAAAUUUACUUACAUGAAAUUCAAUUUUUAGCCUUAAGUCACUCCUACAAAGUAAGUUUCUACAGGAAAGGGCCAACAUGAGCACCCAGUGAAUGGAAAUCCAGGCCAUCCUCAUCCUGAAGGUGCCAGAGCAGGCCCCGCCGGCUGCCUGAGAGCUCCCAUUCCUUGUCAGUCCCCUCUGCCCCUGCCUGCCUCAGUUCUCUGCCCCUGCCUGCCUCUGUUCUCUGCCCCUGCCUGCCUCAGUUCUCUGCCCCUGCCUGCCUCUGUUCUCUGCCCCUGCCUGCCUCAGUUCUCUGCCCCUGCCUGCCUCUGUUCUCUGCCCCUGCCUGCCUCUGUUCUAAGGACUGUAAGAGCUAAACCUAAGAUCACUCGACUCCCUCGUAAUCGGGGGCGGGGGGCCAUGCGACAGUGUUCUUGUCCAUGAGAUGUGAGCAGAAGUCCAUGAGAAAGACAGCCCUUCCAGAAUAAAAUGGCAAAGCUUCCACAGGAGAAAUCUUUUUGCCCGUCGGCCUUUGCCCUCCCUCUAUGUUAUUCCUGCCUGGAAUGCAAACGUGAUGCCUGGAGGUGCAGCAGCCAUCUUGUAAUGUGAGGACAGAACCCAUGCUGAGGAUGGCAGAGCAGACAGCUGCAGGGUGAAGCUGACCUCCUUCCUGCUCUCAUGAUCAUAACGGCUCUGCUGUGAAGACCGCAGCUACGGGGAUCUUGUGACCUCAAUUGGUCCGUACCCACAUGGAGGUAAUGGCCAAUCUGUCUCCUUUCUCUAUAUGUCUGAAAGAAAAUAAUAAACUGACCUGAGCUUGGGCUCAUCUAAGCAUGCUGUUGUGUGCCAGGGAGACUUCUCAGUGUCACCAUCCUCAUCCCCAUCUUCAUGGAACCAGGGCUAAAGGUCCGGCAGACAUGUUAGAAGAUGCAAUGUGCAAAAAAAAGGAAAAAAAAUUAGACAGUUGCUCUGGGAACCAAGGCUAGCAAUCAAACAGUAAAAUAAAGACAGGAAUAACUGAAGUGACCCUUUAUUGACUGAUUGCUAUUGAUUGGCUGAUCAAUUACUUACCACAUCCCCGGCACCAGAGAGAGUAAACGUGUAAGCACAUGCUUUCCUUCUAUCAACACUGGGAGUUGUUCUCCCUACUCUAGAAGUGCCCCAGCUGAGAGAAGCCCCCAGGCCAUACAGCAAGGAAUAGGCCAAAUUGGGCCCUAAACUGACGCCUGCCAGUUCUCCCUGCCCAGCCGGGACCACAGGCUGCAGCACAAGGUCUCCACCAUCAGACAUCACUUUGAGCUGAAGACAAGUCAGGCCUCAGAAACCCAGCCAAACCAGGUAAGGCCUACGUGGGGAGCCCCCAAAUCAGGGCGGGAAGCCCCCAGAUCACGGUGGGAAGUGAAAGAGGGGCUGGUGAUUCAGCACGCAGCACAGCCAAUCACUGAGAGGUCCACUAUCUGGCCAUGGGCUGAGCAAGGGGGUCCUGGGCCUGGGAGCUUGCUGGGAGCCACCUCCCAGGUCAUUCAUCUGUGCUGCCAGGGCCGGGCUGUGUCUGAGCUGAACACUUCAGUAAGCACCUGCUUAACACAAUGGUGUCCAAAUCCCCCAGGGCUGCAGCUCUCUACAGCGUGUGUGCCUUCUGUACCAUCCCCCGCCUCAUCCAUCCUUGGGCUCUUAUAUUAUUUUUCUGGGGAUGCUGUAACAAAUCAUCACAAGCUGAGUGGCUAAAAAGAACAGAAAUUUAGUCUCUCGUGGUUCUGGAGGGGAAAAGUCAGAAACUAAGGUGUCAGCAGAGCUGUGUUCUCUCGGAAGGCUCCACGGCAGGGUCCUCCUGGAUUCUUGCAGCUUCCGGUGACCCUGGAGCUCCUUGGGGUGCCUUGGCUGGCAGGUGCAUCAGUUUCAUCAGCUGAUCGGCCACUGCCUCACCUGGCAUGCUCUCCUGUGUGUCUCUGUUUUCUCUUAUAAGAACACAAGUCAUUAGACUUAGGGUUUACCGUAAUCCAGUAUGACAUCGUUUUAACUUAACUGGCUACAUCAGCAAAAACUUGAGUUCCAAAUAAAGUCACAAAAGUGGGCGAAGGACAUGAACAGACACUUCUCAAAAGAAGAUAUUU